rnacentral:lncRNA from 1 species
UGUGUCUCUGAAACAGUGAACCCUGUAAACCUAGACGAAAGAACAUAAUCUUCUUCUCUAAUCUCCAUUCAAAAAGAAAUACCAAUUCAUGCAAGACCAAAAGAAAGCCGCAAACUUUGUCUUCAACUACAAAUCCAAAAACUACCCAAAAUUCUGCCGCAACUGGAAAAGUGACCCAACUCAGGGUUCUCUCUCUCUACCUCAGAUUGAGC